rnacentral:rRNA from 1 species
AACGAACGCUGGCGGCAUGCCUAACACAUGCAAGUCGAACGAGACCUUCGGGUCUAGUGGCGCACGGGUGCGUAACGCGUGGGAAUCUACCCUUGGGUUCGGAAUAACAGUUAGAAAUGACUGCUAAUACCGGAUGAUGACGUAAGUCCAAAGAUUUAUCGCCCAAGGAUGAGCCCGCGUAAGAUUAGCUUGUUGGUGGGGUAAAGGCCUACCAAGCCGACGAUCUUUAGCUGGUCUGAGAGGAUGAUCAGCCACACUGGGACCGAGACACGGCCCAGACUCCUACGGGAGGCAGCAGUGGGGAAUAUUGGACAAUGGGCGAAAGCCUGAUCCAGCAAUGCCGCGUGAGUGAUGAAGGCCUUAGGGUUGUAAAGCUCUUUUACCAGGGAUGAUAAUGACAGUACCUGGAGAAUAAGCUCCGGCUAACUCCGUGCCAGCCGCCGCCGUAA